AUUGAACGCUGGCGGCAUGCCUAACACAUGCAAGUCGAACGGGGUGUAGCAAUACAUCUAGUGGCGGACGGGUGAGGAAUACAUAGGAAUUUGCCCUUAAGUGGGGGAUAGUCCGGGGAAACUCGGUUUAAUACCGCAUGAUCUCGUGAGAGCAAAGCAGGGGACCGCAAGGCCUUGCGCUUUUGGAGAAGCCUAUGUCGGAUUAGCUAGUUGGUAGGGUAAUGGCCUACCAAGGCAACGAUCCGUAACUGGUCUGAGAGGAUGAUCAGUCACACCGGAACUGAGACACGGUCCGGACUCCUACGGGAGGCAGCAGUGGGGAAUAUUGGACAAUGGCGCAAGCCUGAUCCAGCAAUGCCGCGUGUGUG
rnacentral:rRNA from 1 species